ACCUGGAAAGCAUAUUGAUUUUUGAGGAUUCUUUGGUUGGAUUAUAAUAGUAUAUAGGGGAAGUGUACGGGGAGUGGUACAGAAGGUCCUUGAAUAUUAACAAGCUGACUUAGUGAUCCAGAAGAUUCAACUGCUGCAAUGGUGUCUAUGACAUGAGGCGAGGAUUACAUCCUUU